rnacentral:rRNA from 1 species
UACGUAGGGUGCAAGCGUUGUCCGGAAUUAUUGGGCGUAAAGAGCUCGUAGGCGGUUUGUCGCGUCUGCUGUGAAAACCCGAGGCUCAACCUCGGGCCUGCAGUGGGUACGGGCAGACUAGAGUGCGGUAGGGGAGAUUGGAAUUCCUGGUGUAGCGGUGGAAUGCGCAGAUAUCAGGAGGAACACCGAUGGCGAAGGCAGAUCUCUGGGCCGUUACUGACGCUGAGGAGCGAAAGCAUGGGGAGCGAACAGG